rnacentral:rRNA from 1 species
GGGUUGUGAGGUUAAGCGACUAAGCGUACACGGUGGAUGCCCUGGCAGUCAGAGGCGAUGAAGGACGUGCUAAUCUGCGAUAAGCGUCGGUAAGGUGAUAUGAACCGUUAUAACCGGCGAUUUCCGAAUGGGGAAACCCAGUGUGUUUCGACACACUAUCAUUAACUGAAUCCAUAGGUUAAUGAGGCGAACCGGGGGAACUGAAACAUCUAAGUACCCCGAGGAAAAGAAAUCAACCGAGAUUCCCCCAGUAGCGGCGAGCGAACGGGGAGCAGCCCAGAGCCUGAAUCAGUGUGUGUGUUAGUGGAAGCGUCUGGAAAGGCGCGCGAUACAGGGUGACAGCCCCGUACACAAAAAUGCACAUACUGUGAGCUCGAUGAGUAGGGCGGGACACGUGGUAUCCUGUCUGAAUAUGGGGGGACCAUCCUCCAAGGCUAAAUACUCCUGACUGACCGAUAGUGAACCAGUACCGUGAGGGAAAGGCGAAAAGAACCCCGGCGAGGGGAGUGAAAAAGAACCUGAAACCGUGUACGUACAAGCAGUGGGAGCACGCUUAGGCGUGUGACUGCGUACCUUUUGUAUAAUGGGUCAGCGACUUAUAUUCUGUAGCAAGGUUAACCGAAUAGGGGAGCCGAAGGGAAACCGAGUCUUAACUGGGCGUUAAGUUGCAGGGUAUAGACCCGAAACCCGGUGAUCUAGCCAUGGGCAGGUUGAAGGUUGGGUAACACUAACUGGAGGACCGAACCGACUAAUGUUGAAAAAUUAGCGGAUGACUUGUGGCUGGGGGUGAAAGGCCAAUCAAACCGGGAGAUAGCUGGUUCUCCCCGAAAGCUAUUUAGGUAGCGCCUCGUGAAUUCAUCUCCGGGGGUAGAGCACUGUUUCGGCAAGGGGGUCAUCCCGACUUACCAACCCGAUGCAAACUGCGAAUACCGGAGAAUGUUAUCACGGGAGACACACGGCGGGUGCUAACGUCCGUCGUGAAGAGGGAAACAACCCAGACCGCCAGCUAAGGUCCCAAAGUCAUGGUUAAGUGGGAAACGAUGUGGGAAGGCCCAGACAGCCAGGAUGUUGGCUUAGAAGCAGCCAUCAUUUAAAGAAAGCGUAAUAGCUCACUGGUCGAGUCGGCCUGCGCGGAAGAUGUAACGGGGCUAAACCAUGCACCGAAGCUGCGGCAGCGACGCUUAUGCGUUGUUGGGUAGGGGAGCGUUCUGUAAGCCUGUGAAGGUGUGCUGUGAGGCAUGCUGGAGGUAUCAGAAGUGCGAAUGCUGACAUAAGUAACGAUAAAGCGGGUGAAAAGCCCGCUCGCCGGAAGACCAAGGGUUCCUGUCCAACGUUAAUCGGGGCAGGGUGAGUCGACCCCUAAGGCGAGGCCGAAAGGCGUAGUCGAUGGGAAACAGGUUAAUAUUCCUGUACUUGGUGUUACUGCGAAGGGGGGACGGAGAAGGCUAUGUUGGCCGGGCGACGGUUGUCCCGGUUUAAGCGUGUAGGCUGGUUUUCCAGGCAAAUCCGGAAAAUCAAGGCUGAGGCGUGAUGACGAGGCACUACGGUGCUGAAGCAACAAAUGCCCUGCUUCCAGGAAAAGCCUCUAAGCAUCAGGUAACAUCAAAUCGUACCCCAAACCGACACAGGUGGUCAGGUAGAGAAUACCAAGGCGCUUGAGAGAACUCGGGUGAAGGAACUAGGCAAAAUGGUGCCGUAACUUCGGGAGAAGGCACGCUGAUAUGUAGGUGAAGUCCCUCGCGGAUGGAGCUGAAAUCAGUCGAAGAUACCAGCUGGCUGCAACUGUUUAUUAAAAACACAGCACUGUGCAAACACGAAAGUGGACGUAUACGGUGUGACGCCUGCCCGGUGCCGGAAGGUUAAUUGAUGGGGUCAGCGCAAGCGAAGCUCUUGAUCGAAGCCCCGGUAAACGGCGGCCGUAACUAUAACGGUCCUAAGGUAGCGAAAUUCCUUGUCGGGUAAGUUCCGACCUGCACGAAUGGCGUAAUGAUGGCCAGGCUGUCUCCACCCGAGACUCAGUGAAAUUGAACUCGCUGUGAAGAUGCAGUGUACCCGCGGCAAGACGGAAAGACCCCGUGAACCUUUACUAUAGCUUGACACUGAACAUUGAGCCUUGAUGUGUAGGAUAGGUGGGAGGCUUAGAAGUGUGGACGCCAGUCUGCAUGGAGCCGACCUUGAAAUACCACCCUUUAAUGUUUGAUGUUCUAACGUUGACCCGUAAUCCGGGUUGCGGACAGUGUCUGGUGGGUAGUUUGACUGGGGCGGUCUCCUCCUAAAGAGUAACGGAGGAGCACGAAGGUUGGCUAAUCCUGGUCGGACAUCAGGAGGUUAGUGCAAUGGCAUAAGCCAGCUUGACUGCGAGCGUGACGGCGCGAGCAGGUGCGAAAGCAGGUCAUAGUGAUCCGGUGGUUCUGAAUGGAAGGGCCAUCGCUCAACGGAUAAAAGGUACUCCGGGGAUAACAGGCUGAUACCGCCCAAGAGUUCAUAUCGACGGCGGUGUUUGGCACCUCGAUGUCGGCUCAUCACAUCCUGGGGCUGAAGUAGGUCCCAAGGGUAUGGCUGUUCGCCAUUUAAAGUGGUACGCGAGCUGGGUUUAGAACGUCGUGAGACAGUUCGGUCCCUAUCUGCCGUGGGCGCUGGAGAACUGAGGGGGGCUGCUCCUAGUACGAGAGGACCGGAGUGGACGCAUCACUGGUGUUCGGGUUGUCAUGCCAAUGGCACUGCCCGGUAGCUAAAUGCGGAAGAGAUAAGUGCUGAAAGCAUCUAAGCACGAAACUUGCCCCGAGAUGAGUUCUCCCUGACUCCUUGAGAGUCCUGAAGGAACGUUGAAGACGACGACGUUGAUAGGCCGGGUGUGUAAGCGCAGCGAUGCGUUGAGCUAACCGGUACUAAUGAACCGUGAGGCUUAACCUUACAACGCCGAAGCUGUU